AACGAACGUUGGCGGCAGGCUUAACACAUGCAAGUCGAACGCCCCGCAAGGGGAGUGGCAGACGGGUGAGUAACGCGUGGGAAUCUACCUAGUUCUACGGAACAACAGAGGGAAACUUCUGCUAAUACCGUAUACGCCCUAUGGGGGAAAGAUUUAUCGGAAUUAGAUGAGCCCGCGUAAGAUUAGCUAGUUGGUGAGGUAAUGGCUCACCAAGGCGACGAUCUUUAGCUGGUCUGAGAGGAUGAUCAGCCACACUGGGACUGAGACACGGCCCAGACUCCUACGGGAGGCAGCAGUGGGGAAUAUUGGACAAUGGGCGCAAGCCUGAUCCAGCCAUGCCGCGUGAGUGAUGAAGGCCUUAGGGUUGUAAAGCUCUUUCAGUAGGGAAGAUAAUGACGGUACCUACAGAAGAAGCCCCGGCUAACUUCGUGCCAGCCGCCGCCGUAAGAC
rnacentral:rRNA from 1 species